rnacentral:rRNA from 1 species
UACGUAGGGGGCAAGCGUUGUCCGGAAUCAUUGGGCGUAAAGAGCGUGUAGGCGGCUUGGUAAGUCCGCUGUGAAAGUCCAGGGCUCAACCCUGGAAAGCUAGUGGAAACUGCCAAGCUAGAGUCCGGAAGAGGCGAGUGGAACUCCUGGUGUAGCGGUGAAAUGCGCAGAUAUCAGGAAGAACACCAAUGGCGAAGGCAGCUCGCUGGGACGGUACUGACGCUGAGACGCGAAAGCGUGGGGAGCAAACAGG